rnacentral:rRNA from 1 species
GUGAGGAAUUUUCCGCAAUGGGCGAAAGCCUGACGGAGCAAUGCCGCGUGAAGGAUGAAGGCCUAUGGGUUGUAAACUUCUUUUCUCAGAAAAGAAUUAUGACGGUAUCUGAGGAAUAAGCAUCGGCUAACUCUGUGCCAGCAGCCGCGGUAAGACAGAGGAUGCAAGCGUUAUCCGGAAUGAUUGGGCGUAAAGCGUCUGUAGGUUGUUUAAAAAGUAUUCUGUCAAAGAUUAGGGCUUAACCCUAGAUAGGCAGAAUAAACUUUUAAGCUAGAGUUUGGUAGAGGCAGAGGGAAUUCCCGGUGGAGCGGUGAAAUGCGUAGAUAGCGGGAGGAACACCAAAGGCGAAGGCACUCUGCUGGGCCAAUACUAACACUGAGAGACGAAAGCGAGGGGAGCAAAUGGGAUUAGAUACCCCUGUAGUCC